AGUGUCCUUCUACAGUCACUUAGUGCACAGGUCCUCAGCAUGGGAUGGAGCUGCAUUAUUUUCUUCUUGGUAUCAGUAAUUACAGGUGUCCAUUCCCAGGUCCAGCUGCAGCAGUCCGGUCCUGAACUGGGGAAACCUGGGGCCUCAGUGAAGCUGUCCUGCAAGACUUCAGGCUACACUUUCACAAAUUACAAUAUUUUCUGGGUGAAGCAGAAGCCUGUUGAAGGCCUGGAGUGGAUUGGAUGGGUUUAUGGUGGAAGUGGUGGUACUAGCUACAAUCAGAAAUUCCAGGGCAAGGCCACACUGACUGCAGAUAAAUCCUCCAGCACAGCCUACAUGGAGCUCAGCAGCCUGACAUCUGAGGAUUCUGCCAUCUAUUACUGUGCAAGGCACACAGUGUUGUAA